AAAAAAUAAAAAAUAAAUAAAAAUCUGCUGUUUGAAGAUGAAUGAUUCUCUGGUAAGAUUCAGGUGAGACUGGAUGGUUAGAUGGAGUCCUUGGACUCAGGUGACUUCAUUGGAGAGAAUGCUGGUGAAAAACAGUGGCCGAAGGUGGGCUCACAUGCCAGUGCGGCAUGUUGGGACUAGAGAAGAAGAUCAACGCGUUUUCUUCACAUGCUUCUUUUCCGGUGCUGGUCUUUUAGAUCUGGAUAAUCAGCACACAACUUUACUUCCUAGGUAGGUGGUGAGACUUGAAGCUUCACCAAAAAGUUUGGGCUAGCUUCAAGUGAUUGUUUCCCUUAGAAGCAGAGGGACCAAGAGAAGCAAAGAGAGGUCUUCUUGAGUUUGUGUUUUUAGACCUUGGUUUGGUGUUUAGGAAAGAGAAUUUUUAUAGAAUGGCUCAAUACCUAGGCUAUGAUUCGUGAAGAAAUAGAAUUUGGGAAAAAAAUUGCUUUUGGGACUCAAACCUAAAGCUGAAUUGAAAAAUAAGAAUACAGAAAAAAAUUAACUUGGGAUUAAAACCCACAACUUUGGGACUCA
rnacentral:misc_RNA from 1 species